GAUGUUCAACGCCACUGGCGUGGCUGAGAUGAAGACACAUUUGUGCACACAGUGCUUAGGAUGGAUGUGGACUGUUAUAUUAUUAUGUGAAAGAGGCUGUGAAAAUUCCCCCGACUUUAGGCAGAGAAGAAAAAGGGCUACUGUAGUUUUUAAUAA